ensembl:misc_RNA 7SK 7SK RNA
GGCUGUGAGGAUGAGAGACUGUGACUGACAUCUGUCACUCCAUUAAUCACCACGGUUGAUUCAGCUGAUCUGGCUGGCUAGGCUGUGCCUCCUUCCCCACUCACAGCUUUAUAUGCAUCCUUCCUGAAACUGCACACUCAGUAGAAGAGAGCUGAUUUUCGGUCAAGGGUAUAUGAAUAGCUGUACUCCCCUGCUAGACCCCCAGAAAAACUCUCAAAGCCAGAAUAUGUUUUUCUGAAGUGGAGCCUGGCCACCUUUCUCAUACCUACCCCU